AGAGUUUGAUCCUGGCUCAGAAUGAACGCUGGCGGCAUGCCUAACACAUGCAAGUCGAACGAAGGCUUCGGCCUUAGUGGCGCACGGGUGCGUAACGCGUGGGAAUCUGCCCUCAGGUUCGGAAUAACAGCGAGAAAUUGCUGCUAAUACCGGAUGAUAUCGCGAGAUCAAAGAUUUAUCGCCUGAGGAUGAGCCCGCGUAGGAUUAGCUAGUUGGUGUGGUAAAGGCGCACCAAGGCGACGAUCCUUAGCUGGUCUGAGAGGAUGAUCAGCCACACUGGGACUGAGACACGGCCCAGACUCCUACGGGAGGCAGCAGUGGGGAAUAUUGGACAAUGGGCGAAAGCCUGAUCCAGCAAUGCCGCGUGAGUGAUGAAGGCCUUAGGGUUGUAAAGCUCUUUUACCCGGGAUGAUAAUGACAGUACCGGGAGAAUAAGCUCCGGCUAACUCCGUGCCAGCAGCCGCGGUAAUACGGAGGGAGCUAGCGUUAUUCGGAAUUACUGGGCGUAAAGCGCACGUAGGCGGCUUUGUAAGUUAGAGGUGAAAGCCUGGAGCUCAACUCCAGAAUUGCCUUUAAGACUGCAUCGCUUGAAUCCAGGAGAGGUGAGUGGAAUUCCGAGUGUAGAGGUGAAAUUCGUAGAUAUUCGGAA
rnacentral:rRNA from 1 species